rnacentral:rRNA from 1 species
UACGUAGGGUGCGAGCGUUAAUCGGAAUUACUGGGCGUAAAGCGUGCGCAGGCGGGCUUUUAAGCCAGACGUGAAAUCCCCGGGCUUAACCUGGGAAUGGCGUUUGGGACUGGGAGUCUGGAGUGCGGCAGAGGAGACUGGAAUUCCUGGUGUAGCAGUGAAAUGCGUAGAUAUCAGGAGGAACACCGAUGGCGAAGGCAGGUCUCUGGGCAUUAACUGACGCUGAGGAGCGAAAGCAUGGGGAGCGA